GAUUCAUUGGUGCCUAAAAAUGUAACUUGUUGUACGGGCCGUGAGCCCCUGAGUGCGGGGGCUGCCGUGCUGGAUGGGUGCUCCCCCUCCUCCGCAGUGCCAUCGAAAUCUUAUGGAGUUCUGGCUGAGCUCACAGAAGGAGUCAGGCAGGUGCCAGAGCUGGUGGAAGGGGAAGGGAACAUAUGGCUGUGAACAGAAGGAAGGUGGGAAUGCGACAAGUGAUGACAAAUUGGUUUGCUUGGAGAGGAGUUGUGCUGUAGCUUAUACCAGCCUUUGAUUUCUGCCAUGCUGACUUGAGCUGUGUGUGACUUGCUCUGUGGAAAGAAAGUACAUCCCACUCCAAAUGAAACCAUGAAACAAGGCAGAGCAAGUCCUUCAAGCUCUGAUUCAAAGCUGCCUUAUUGCUGUGGAAUUGAUAUGGACUUUCCCUGGGUAACUUCUCUGACUGAAGGGUGAAGCCAAGAAUAGUCUGAGGAUGCACAGGUGUACUGAGUCGUUCCAUUGCAACCUGGGCAAAGCAGAGUUUGGCGAUAUAGAUUUACCUGGAACAAUGCCUGUGAAGUUUCCUGUUUCUUGUUUAUCACUCCAGGAUUGA